rnacentral:rRNA from 1 species
UACGUAGGGUGCGAGCGUUAAUCGGAAUUACUGGGCGUAAAGCGUGCGCAGGCGGUUUCGCAAGUCAGAUGUGAAAGCCCCGGGCUUAACCUGGGAACUGCGUUUGAAACUACGAAGCUAGAGUACGGCAGAGGGAGGUGGAAUUCCAAGUGUAGCAGUGAAAUGCGUAGAUAUUUGGAGGAACACCGAUGGCGAAGGCAGCCUCCUGGGCUAGUACUGACGCUCAUGUACGAAAGCGUGGGGAGCAAACAGG